rnacentral:lncRNA from 1 species
GCGCUAUAAAGGUAGUGAUGAAUCCGCUUUAAACUUUUUAUUGCAUGCUCCUUUUAUAAGUUACCUGUCCCUCCCUUAUGACAGCAUGUAUACAAUCUGGGGCAAAAGCUUGUUUUUUGUGUCUUAAGUUCUCUUCUCAAUCAUGGGCUCCGUAGUCAUGGGAGAGACAGAGCAAUGUGAAAGAAGGGAGAGGGAGUUGAGAACAGGGCUUUUCAGUGGCUGGUGUUGGUGACUGUGGCCGGGAUGCUCCCUUCUGUGGGGCUCUCCUGUGCAGCACCUGUGGCCUCUACCCUCUAUGGGCCACUGAAAUUCACAUCCCCCACCCCAUGAUAAUCAACAUGGGCUCCAGAUGUGGCUAAGCAUCCCCUGGAUAGCAGAACCUGCCCCCAAUAUGAGAACCACUGGGCAAUGACUGCCUUCUGGAGCUUGUUCUGUCAGAGCAUGAGUCCCCUGGUCCUCAUCCUGGACCCAUCUUCCCGACCCCUUUGCUGGCUUCA